rnacentral:misc_RNA from 1 species
GAUGAAGAACGCAGUGAAAUGCGAUAAGUAAUGUGAAUUGCAGAAUUCAGUGAAUCAUCGAAUCUUUGAACGCACAUUGCGCCCGCCAGUAUUCUGGCGGGCAUGCCUGUUCGAGCGUCAUUUCAACCCUCAAGCCCCAGCGGCCUGGUGUUGGGGACCGGCGACCUCGCCCGAGCCCGCCCUCCGGGGCGCGUGCCCGGUGCGUCCGCCGCCCCCGAAAUGAAUUGGCGGCCUCGUCGCGGCCUCCUCUGCGUAGUAGCACAACCUCGCAAGCGGGAGCGCGACGCGGCCACUGCCGUAAAACGCCCAACUUUUUUAGAGUUGACCUCGGAUCAGGUAGGAAUACCCGCUGAACUUAAGCAUAUCAAUAAGCGGAGGA